rnacentral:rRNA from 1 species
CGGAGUGGCAGACGGGUGAGUAACACGUGGGAACAUACCCUUCGGUUCGGGAUAACUCAGGGAAACUUGAGCUAAUACCGGAUACGUCCGCGAGGAGAAAGAUUCAUCGCCGGAGGAUUGGCCCGCGUCUGAUUAGCUUGUUGGUGAGGUAAUGGCUCACCAAGGCGACGAUCAGUAGCUGGUCUGAGAGGACGAUCAGCCACACUGGGACUAAGACACGGCCCAG